AAAGUCGUAACAAGGUUUCCGUAGGUGAACCUGCGGAAGGAUCAUUACUGAGUUAGGGUCUUUCUGGCCCGACCUCCAACCCUUUGUUUACUAUACCAUGUUGCUUUGGCGGGCCUGCCUUUUGGGGCUGCCGGGGGCAUUACUGCCCUUGACCUGUGUCUGUCAGGAGCCUUCUUUAAAUUCUGUGUUCAACUGUGUUGUCUGAGUCCCAAUAUCAAAAUAUCAAAAACUUUCAACAACGGAUCUCUUGGUUCUG
rnacentral:misc_RNA from 1 species